rnacentral:lncRNA from 1 species
UGCGGGCCGUAAAGUCCACAAAUACCCAUCAGGAGAUAGAAUUUUAAUCUACAAUUAAAGGUAAACAAAAUUUGGGUUCAGUUUAGGCGAAAAGAAAAACGUUUUAAAAACUCCAAACAACCAAAUGUGCCUCUGAGAUGUGUGUGGACACGCGUGCGUAAAGCAACCCACCAGU